rnacentral:lncRNA from 1 species
UUUGUCCCCUGUGCAUCUUCUUAGUAACAUAAUAAAAUUGUUACUUGAAAGUCAAUGGUUGAUCAUGCUGACCAUCUUUAAUUUAAUGGGGAAAGAUUAACCAGUAUCUGCAGCUGGACAGGCUGUCACCACAGUUCAAUGAUUUAGUUAAGACAAUGAAAUCGAAGAACUUCAUGCUAACACUUGCAUCAGUGGAAGUACUUCUUAUUGGAUAGAGAACUUUUCAAGGUCAGACAUCAGCUUUUGAAGUUGCUUUCUUGGCACAUCAUGCUGUCCAGUGGAGUUCAUACCAUAUGCCAGGCCUUUAUACAUGGUCAAAGAAGAUGAAUUUGUUAUUCAAUUUGUGAAAUUUGAUUUAAGGAGGACUUUCAUAUAUGAUGAUUAUAUUCAGCAGAUUAUCUUCAAGUGUGCACUUUAUAGAAUCACAGUUUCUAGGAGGUUUUCAGUUUAAAGUUAGAUUAAUUGAAAAAUGAUGAAAAGUACAUUGUUAGAACUUCAAAUAUGCAACAUAAAGGUGAAUAUAGGUAAAUUCAUAAAUUCUCACCACAGGGUGUGCGGGUUAGUGGCUUUGAGUUGUGCAAAUUCAGUACAUAGAUCUAUAAUCUUAAUCUGCUGAGAAUUUCUUCCCUUAAAUGAUGGAUAAGUCUUUAAAUUAUAAAUAUUGAAAUAAAUUUGCAUCUGUGCUUCUAUGGCAUUACUAGGAAAGACACGUUAUUAUACAUUCUACAUUGUAACAGUUGGUGUUUAGAUCCUAUAAUUGUAAAACAUAAAAUAAAUGUUGCAAGUUUCAUAAAA